CAGGAAAAAAGUUCUGGGUUGGAAACUACCAGUCUGAUGGGGUCUGUGUGAAGUUUGCAUGUUCUCCUGCACCUGAGUGGGCUCUCUGUGGGCACUCUAACUUCCUCCCACAGGCAUGACAUGCUUGUUAGUUACCAGGCCUGGGUCUGGGGGGACUUGGUCAUGGAGGAGGGGGUUUCCCCUCACUACCACUGGAUGCUGCUGCCCCUCCCUGGGAUGCGGGUACUUGCUGAUUUCAGGGAAUCCUGCAGGAAAGCCUGAAGAAUACCUUUCUCCAAGUGUGCCUGACCCACUCUCACCCCACAUGUCAUCACUACUCACCUGCCCUAAAGCUUUCAGCAUUGGAGCUCUGCCCUGAUAGAUUACUUACCUAAGGAAGCUCAUUUGAACUUUGCUCCCACAUUAAUCAUUCUUGAGAAAAAGAAAAAUAGCUCUGUUUCCUGUUUAGUAACCUACCUAAAGACACUUACCUGAAGACUGCUGCUGCCUGUGAACUUUAGGGAUUUGCCUAAAAACACUAAUCAAAGUUGUUAACUGGUUAACUUGUG
ensembl:lncRNA